UGGGGAAUAUUGCACAAUGGGCGCAAGCCUGAUGCAGCAACGCCGCGUGAGGGAUGACGGCCUUCGGGUUGUAAACCUCUUUUAGCAGGGAAGAAGCGAAAGUGACGGUACCUGCAGAAAAAGCGCCGGCUAACUACGUGCCAGCAGCCGCGGUAAUACGUAGGGCGCAAGCGUUAUCCGGAAUUAUUGGGCGUAAAGAGCUCGUAGGCGGUUUGUCGCGUCUGCUGUGAAAUCCCGAGGCUCAACCUCGGGUCUGCAGUGGGUACGGGCAGACUAGAGUGCGGUAGGGGAGAUUGGAAUUCCUGGUGUAGCGGUGGAAUGCGCAGAUAUCAGGAGGAACACCGAUGGCGAAGGCAGGUCACUGGGCCGCAACUGACGCUGAGGAGCGAAAGCAUGGGGAGCGAAACAGGAUUAGAUAGCCCUGGUAGUCCAUGCCGUAAACGUUGGGCACUAGGUGUGGGGUCCAUUCCACGGAUUCCGUGCCGCAGCAAACGCAUUAAGUGCCCCGCCUGGGGAGUACGGCCGCAAGGCUAAACUCAAAUGAAUUGACGGGGUC
rnacentral:rRNA from 1 species